rnacentral:misc_RNA from 1 species
GCAGGUGAAAGCCAUGACGGCUCUGACAGAGAUUCUCGCCGCCGGUGGCGUCGCACCGGUUAGUCCAACAAACUGAGUGAAUAGCCAAUCACAACUUGUUAGUUAUUCCAGGUGUUAUUACAAUUUUUAAUUUUAUUUCUUGUAUUUUUUUUAGAGAUGAAAGUCAUGUAUAUAAUAAAGUACAUGAAUUAAUAAAGAAAAUACAAGAAAUA